rnacentral:snRNA from 1 species
AUGCUCACUUCGGCAGCACAUAUACUAAAAUUGGAACGAUACAGAGAUUAGCAUGGCCCCUGCACAAGGAUGACACACAGAUUUGUGAAGUGUUCCGUAUUUUU